CGGGCUUGAAUUGCAACUGAAUGAUGUGGAGACAUGUCAGCCGCAAGGCAGUUGUGA
rnacentral:rRNA from 1 species